UCCUAACUCAGCUCCUGCCUCAUGUCGGCC
rnacentral:piRNA from 1 species